UUCAUUUAUUGGUUGUCAUCUUAUUUGGGAAUGGUUCCUCCUGUUCAGCCAAGAUAUUUCACUUCACUUGCGGAUACUACGGUUGUCCAAUCGAAAUCGUUCUUUGUUGGUGCUAUUUUGAUGUUGCAGAUUGCAAUGGCAAAAUAGCUCUUUUCUUUCAACAUGACUUCCUGGUUGUUGGAACUGGAUAUGUAUUGGUUCAUGCCCUGUCAAUUGUUUGUCCUGAUAAUGCUAGAUACCUUUACCUUA